AUUGAACGCUGGCGGCAGGCCUAACACAUGCAAAUCGAGCGAGCGGAGGACGGGUGAGUAAAGUAUGGGGAAUGCCCGAGAGGGGGGGAGAACUACUGGAAAAGGUAGAUAAUACCGCGUACGAUCUGAUAACCCAAAUGGGAUUAGCUGUUAGGUGAGGUAAUGGCUCACCUAGGCGACGAGCCCUAGCUGGUCUGAGAGUCUGAUCAGCCACACUGGGACUGCGACACGGCCCAGACUCCUACGGAGGCAGCAGUGGUGAAUAUUGCACAAUGGGCUCAAGCCUGAUGCAGCCAUGCCGCGUGUAUGAAGAAGGCCCUAGGGUUGUAAAGUACUUUCAGUCGGGAGGCGUUACCGACAGAAGAAGCACCGGCUAACUCCGUGCCAGCAGCCGCGGUAAUUC
rnacentral:rRNA from 1 species